rnacentral:lncRNA from 1 species
ACACUCUUAUUUCAUCCGGCCUGGGGAGGAGGGGAAAGAGGAAGUCACCUGUGAAAUUGUCUUUGCGCUUUGGACUCAAGCCCCCAGAUGCCUUUGGAUAAUUUCUGCUUGCUAAAGAGGCGGGGCCUUAGUCCUCAUCGGCCGAUGGUUUGGAGACUGAAUCAACUAUCUAUGAAGACGCUGAGGUUAAGAAACAAGUGACUGCUAUGAGAUCAUAAAGAAAAUGCAUAAGUGGUGGAAACAAUUAGAAAAUAGGUGUUUUGAUUUUAAGUUGCAAGUGCUCUCCAUUCCACAAAGAUAUUGGAAAUGGCUUGAAGGAGGGUCCAUGGAGUAUCUUCUCUAAAUUCUCCACAGCACUUUAUACAGCUCCAAAUGCAUAAUGAAACUUAAAUAAAUCUUACUGAAUUAAAAAGAAGGAAAAAACAUGAGAGGAAGUCAUCGAGAAUGGAGAGAGGGAGAGAAAUAGAAAUAGAGGGAAGAUUAUAAAGAUGAAAAGGACAAGAAGAACAGUCCAUAUUUAUAAAAUAUUUUAGAAGAAAAAUAAAAUUUCCUUCUACGUGCUGUCAGGACAUGCUUUUUAAUUUGUGGAAGUCACACACUGCAGAUGUUGCCUUCCGGGUUGCUGGUAGGAUCACCAUGACAAAGGCGCUGCCUCAUCUAUAAAUAGACGGUCAGAUUGAUUUCACAUCCUGCCCUGGUUCUUCCGACUGCUUGAUGGGCGUGACAACACAAUCGAUGAGUGAUCCCAUCCACUCUGCCUGCACAGGCCUCGCCUGCACUGUCUUCUGGAAGAUGACAAUCAGGCUCAUUAAAUCCAGCACAAAGAAGCUUCAAAGACGUUUGUCCUAUCAGAGAAAUUGAGCCUGAGUCCUUUGCCAUUGCAUCAAAAGGAAUUGAGAUUUAAUCAGCCAUCCCGUCCAAACCUAUUGCUAGUAAGACAGUUUGGAUCUUUCCUUUGCCUGUUUGGAUCGAUGUUAACUGGAACUUCAAUGGCCAGAGCUGAUGUCCGUUCCAGCCCAGGUAUAAAAAAGCUAUUCAACUGGACAUUGAUAGGUUUCCAUUAGUACUUCUCAGAAGUGAAUGUCAACUUCCUGAUGUUUAUACUCAAGGAGAAUGAGGUUUGGAGAUCUGAGUAGUUUACUGAAGGCACUCACAUUGAAAGAUUUUAUGAAGCUGAAAUUCAAAUCUAGAUGUGCCCCAUCCAAAGACCACCCUCUUUAUACAGCAACAUGCUGCUUCCCCUGGAUCAAGAAACACAAGGAGCCUUCAUCUACCACAUAAGAAUUGCAGCAAACCCUGCAGCUAUCCUGAAGCUGCCAUGCUGAAAAGGCCAAUUGGGAGACCACAUAGAGACCGAGAGAGACUUCCAAGGACUCCAGCCAAUCCUGGGCCCCAGCAGUUUGAAUCUCCCAGCAAUGCCACCAUACAGGAGAGGGAGCAAAUACUCAGAAGAUUCAAGUGCCAGCUGCAUGGGUUGAUACCUACAUAAAAGGCAUUGGCAUUAUUCACAAGAGCCAAGAUAUGGAAAUAACCUGUGUCCAUUGACAGACGAAUAGAUGAGGGAAACGUGGCAUAUACACACAGUGGAAUAUUAUUCGGAAUUAAAAAAAGAAGGAAAUCCUGAAUCCUGCUAUUUCUGACAACAUGAGACUGCAGGACGUUAUGAAAAUGGCCACAUCAUGCUCUUCUAGAACUUUCUCAUCCCUCAGUCAAGAGGUGGAGCCUAUUUACCCUUGACCUUGAAAUUGAUCAGGACUUUGUCACUGCCUUGCUCUUAACAUCACCAUGCUGGAGAAAUAGCAUGGCAAGGCCAGCUGGUGAUAGAGAAAGAUGCCUAAGGAGCUCCAGCUGCUAUUUUCCCUGGAUUUUUGAGUCUUCCCAGUCCAGCCAGACAUAUGACUGGGCAAAACCCUCAGGUAACUACAGCCUUAUCCACUGUCUGACUAUCACAAAAUGAGAGACCUUGGGUGAGGACCACCUACCUGAGCCCAGUCAUCCUGCAGAGAUGCGAGAAAAAUAAGAAUGUCAUUAUUGUUAUUUUAAAAUCACUGAGUUUGGGUUAAUUUGUAUGCAGCAAUAGAUAACUGGGACACAAAGAUAGACUGUAAAAAAAUAAAGAGGGAAUGGUUAAGCUAAAAACAUUGUGAUCAAAUCAAUGUUUAGUAAGUAAGCAAGAAAGAUGGCUAUCCAGGGAAGAGAGAUUGCACAACAAAAUGAAAAUGAAACAAGCAAAGAAACAAAGCAUGGAUUAUAACUUGUAAGAGAGAAAACCAUAUUAAGGGGAGUUAUUUGAAUAUUUUGUAUGAAAAUACAGAAAUCAGAUAUAAGUGAGCUGACACUGACUUUGGAGGCAGGAGGAAAACUGAUGGGGAAUUCUGGGAAAACAGAAUGAUACAAAGCAGAAUCCUCAAUGUCCCUACCCAAAACCUAAUGAAAUAAACAGAAAUCAGCAACAUUAUUUUAAAAAUUAAUUCUCCAAGAACAAUACAAAAGUAAAUGGAGCAAAAAUUAUUAUUCAUUUUGAAAAAGAUAAUCUAGAAACAGAGAGACAGAGGAAUCUAGAAAAUAGUACACAAAUUCUUGUCUGAGAAGUGUCUGAGAAGACAUCUAUAGGCAAAACUGCAUAAAAUUCUCUCCAGUUUGGAAGGCCAUCCUGGGUAAUUUUAUAAAAUGUCUCUUUCAUAAUAGAAGCCUCUUCCCAACAUCAUAGAUGAAAAAUUUUUCAACGAAGGGAAAAUCUGUUAGUGCUCAUCAAUCUUCCCCUACACCUCAAGGAUGAGGGAGUAGAGGCAUAGAUUGAGCACAACUAAUUAUUUCCAGUAAUAAACAACAUCAAGAUAAGACAAAGUCUUGAGGCAAUUUGGUUGUCCCUUGACAAAGGGAAUAAUGUGAAAGGAGGUAAAAAAAAAAAAAAAAAAAAGAGCUCUAUAUGGCCUUUCUUCCUAUAGCACCUUGUUUAAAUAAUAAAUUUCACUCAUUUUCCCCACCUCUGGCUUGGUCAGAAGAGGGAUAACAGCAUAGAAUAGCUCAGGAGGAUGGCAAUGUGAAACUGUAGUAGCUAUAAAGUGAUGUCUACAUAGCAGAAAAUCCAAUAUAAACAUAAUAUCUCUACUCACCUAAGAAAGAUACACCUUGGAGUACUCAUAAUAAACUCUAUAAUAAUAAUAAAAUUACAUGAAAUUGAGCAGAAAACAACAAAUCAAAAUAGUCACAACUGCAUCUGAGGCCCCUUAAGAAAACAGACACCUGCAAACAGACAUCAGCAGUAACCAAGUCACAAGCUGAACCUCUAGUGGGAUAAACAAAUAAGCCUCCACUAAGAUAGGCGGGUAAGCAAGAAUAAUUUGUAUAUGCUAUAUAUGCACAAAGAAAGUGCCCACAUAGAGGGGCUAAUAUCAAAGAUGAGCAAAAUGAAAAAAAGAGUCAUGGCACUCUUAACAAUUAUGAAGGAAAAGAAAAAAGGAGAAGGAGGAGGAGAAGAAAGCAAGCUAGCAUAUAAAAUAGAAAAGAAGAAUUUAUUCUAGAAGAAGGUAUACACCAAGUAAUAGAAUAAAUAUUCUGAUAAAACACUUUCUGAGAAGAACUUAUAAAAACACCAAAACUACAAUGAAAAUAAUGAACAGAUUGAUAUAAAUAAAAAUAUAGAUAUAAAAUAUAACACCACCGAAUUAAUUUGCAAAAGUAGUGAAAGUAUUUGAAGAUCAAGCAACAGCACUGCAGAUUAAUAAACAUGCUUUAGAGGGUAAGGAAAAGAGAAGAUGCCAGUUGAAAAUCAAUACUGUGUUAUGGAAGAGAGAAUUGAAAUAAUCAUGAAGAUUGUCAUUAGAAAGCAUGGCAGGAUGACAACAAUUUCAAUGAAGAUGGCAGAUACGGAAGUUAUGCAUCAAAGGAGCAGCAUGUGAGCAUCUGUGUCCUUGAGAUGGAGAAGAGAAAAUAAUGGAACAGAUAAAGAACACUCAGAGAUACAGAAAAAUAUUUCCUGAAAUGAAACAUUUGCCAAACCUUCAAACAUGAGAAGCUUUUACAUCCACGUAUGUAAAUGGAGUAAAAGAGAUCCCUUGAUCUGACAUGAAUCUUAGCUCCAUUCUUUAGUAGCUGUGACUCUGGGCAGGUUUGUCAGGCUGAUUUUUUAAUCUGCAAAGUGUGACUAUUAAAAAUCCCAGCUUCAUGGUUUGUUGUGAAUGGGAAUGAAAUGAGGUAAUAUAUGUCAUGUACUUCGGUGAGUUACUGGUACAGAGGAUAUUCUUUUCAAGUAUCAGCUAUUGUUUGUAUCUUGGUAAAGUUCCUGAACAUUAUCGGGGGAAGAAAGAAUCCUGUACGAGGAAAAAAAAACAAAAGUUGCAUUGCAUUCAAACUUCUACACUGCAUCAGUUAGUGCCAGAAGACAAUGCAGAAAUUCCAGCGGAGGCUUGUGGGGUGGAAAUAUGUAUGAUCUGUGAAUGUUAUAGACAGACUGAUAGUCAUUCAGGUAUAAAGGAAAUCGAGAGGCAUCCUAAAAAUUGCUAGGAUGCAGAAACUGAAACCUUUUUGAAAAAGCUCACCGAUGAAAACAAGAAAUUUCCAUAGCAAAAAAAUUGAACUAAUGGAAUAGAAAGACCUUCUAUGAAAGGACUGGCAGUAAGUACUAAAUCCAUUUAAAUAUAAAACCAAAGUGAAAUAAUUGAGGAAAUUAUGGUUACGUAAAAUAUAUAUUUUAAAACAGAAAAAAAGAUUUUUUUCAUUAUGAAUAAAAACAACUAUAUAACUCUGAUGGACCCUGGAAAAAUGUUUUAAAACAAAUAGGAAGUAGGGAGGGAAAAGAGAAUGUGUAAGUUUCGUAUUUCCCUAUGUUCACAGUGGUAGGUCAAAAAAUGGCAGGUUUAUUGGAAAAGUUCAUUUUUAUAAAAAGGUAAAUCCUAAAAAACCAAUGAUGCAAAAUCUUUCUAAAUUUUGAAAAAGGAAAUGCAAAUUAAAACAAAACAGAAACAAAUGUUCCCUACAAACCUUGACCUUUUUGAAUGAGAUGAAAUGCACAUGUCUCUGUGCAUAGGCUAAGAUCUGGAGGAGUGACAUGAACAGUGACUGCUCCUUGGGCAGUAUGAAUGAGUGGAGGUGGUAGAAUAGGAAUGGGCUUUUCAUGUCCUUCUUUCUGGUUAUUUACUUUGCUUGUUUUUGUUGAGAAAAAAAAUCACAAAUACAGAUUAGUAUGAAGAAUAAGGUGAGAAACUGCUAGGUAUCUAUUACCCUGAAUUGACAGUUUCACAUUGUGUUAUAUUUAUUUCAAGACAUUUUUAAAGAAAGAAAGAAAACAUAACAGAUUAAUCACAUUCUCCAUCUGCCUUCCCCCUUUCACUCUUCUCUGAGACAGACACUGUGAAGAACUUGUGUAUAUCUGUUGAACCAAAUUAUAAAUUAACAUACAUAUGUCCAUGAACAACAUAUCUAUUCAUACUUGAGAAAUAUAUUUGAAACCAUUAGAUCUUUUAACAAUUACAGAAAUAGUAUCAUGCUAUGUUAUAUUGCUAAAUGCAUUAUCAAACAUGCUUUUUCAUUACCUUUUUUUUGAGAACAUGUGGAGGGAUUAUUUUAAGGUAAAUGAAAUAGUUUGGUUAAAGAGAAAGCACAUACAAUAUUGCCAAUUCCUGCCAAGUGGUAGCAUCACUAAAUUCAGUGUAAAAUAAGUUUGUGAACACACAAAAUGGAUGAAUUUCCAGGAAAAUAUCAAGGACAGAAAUGCAUUUCAAAAAUGAUCUCAUCAACUCAAACAAACAAAUGCCACAGUUUUUUAAAUAAGGGAGUAUGGGACAAUUCCCCUGCCUCAUACACACCCAUACUCACACAUCACAGCACAUGCUAAGAAGGUGUUGCACAGGAAAAUUACUUUUACAUUUUUGAAUACUAUGUCACUUCAGCGUGUUUAAAUUCUUCCAGCCAAGAGAAGAAAAAUUUUCAGAUUCUUUUUACCAAGCCAGCAUGAGGUUAAACCCCAAAUCUGAAAAUGACCGCAAUGAGAAAAUGACUGAUGAAUGCCACAUAUGAACAUCUACAUAAAAAUCCAAAUAAAAUUCAAAACUCUAAUUCUAUAGUGUAUUAUAUUUUAAAAUGAUAUAUAUUCAAAUAUAUAAGACACAUGCAUACACAUAUGCAUAGAAAUGUAUAUAUACUUAUGUAUAUCUACAGAUAUGAAUAUGUACAUACAAGCAAAUUAUAUAUAUUUACAAAUAUACUACAUAAAAUAUAUAUUAAAUACACAUGAAUAUAUAUCUAUACAUAUAUGUAGGUGUGUGUAAUAUAUGUGUGCAGCAAAGUGAAUUUUAGCUUAGAAAUAUCAGAAAAAUUCAAAAAAAAAUUACUAAUUUUAGAAAUACUAAUUAAAGAGUUAAUUCCUUUUCUUGCUAAGAAGUAAAUCAAAGGUCAACAUUAUAAUUGAAAACUAACUACUUUCUAAAUUCUGCUACAUUUCAGGAUGCGAACAAUCAAUAUUUACUGGCUUUAUUUAAAAAUAACUAAGAUAAAAGCAUAGUCAUAUGCAUCUGUCCACCAUUCAGCAUUAACAAGUAUUAAAAUAUGUUAUAUGCUUUUCAGGUCUGUUUUUGUUUUUCAGGAAACAGAAAGACCAAAAAUAAAAUUGAAACUAAUUUUUGCAUAUAAACACUUCCUAAGUGUGUUGCUGAUUCUUGAAGCAUGCAUAUAUGGGACAAAAUACAGCUGAAUUGCAAAAGGCAGAAUUUUCUAUUUGAGUUCAAUCAAGGGAAACCUGCUUGAUUCCAACCAAGUUAAAUCUGCUUAAAAGAUAAUCCACACUCUUCAGAGAAAUGUAAGAGAAUCCAGCCUGCAACCCAAUCCAACACCGCUCCCUAGCACAUGAUUUAAAUAUGCAGAAUGUGUUCUGCGUAUCUUGUUAUAUGGGUAUCAAGUGCCUUGGGUUGUAAUCCAGAAGUACUUGGCGUAAAAAGAAUGAGGAAAAUGUGAUCAAUUCUUAAGAGAAAAGACAACUGAUAGAGACAAUCUGACAGGUGAACCAGUUUGGUGCACUCAGAAAGUUAGACAUAGAGCUACCAUAUGACAAACAAUUCCACUCCUAGGUGUAUGCCCAAGGUACUUGAAAACGUACAUUCAUAGAAACUCAUAACAAAUGUUCAUAGCAGCAUCAUUCGUAAUAGCCCCAAAGUGUAAACAACCAAAUGCCUAUCAGGUGACUAAAUGGAUAAAUAAAAUGUGAUACAUAUACCUAGUGGAAUAUUACCCGGUGAUAGAAAGUAACAGAGUAUGGACAUAUGCUACAGCAGAAUUUGAAAAGUAUGAUGUGAAGUGAAAGAAGCCAGGCACAAAAAACCAUGUAUCUUGUGAUUCCAUUAUAUGAAAUGUGAAGAAUAGGCAAAUCCAUAAAGGCAUAAAGUAAAUAAGAAGUUGUCAGGCUCCAGGGGUGGGUAGAAUGGACUGGGACUGCUAAUGGGUACAGGGUUUCUUUUAGGGGUAUGAAAAUAUUUUAAAAUUAAAUAGUAGUAAUGAUUGCACAAGUCUGUGAAUAUGCCAAAGGAAUACUGAGUGUUAUAAAUCAAAAGCGUGAAUUUUAUAACAUAUAAAUUAUACUCCAAUAACACUAUUAUUUUUUGAAUUUCCAAUAAUCAUUUUGUAUAACCUGAUACAUCGAUCCCAAAAGGCAUACAUAGAAUAGCCAAGAACAGUCAUUUAUAUUUGAAUGAAAAUAUAGUGGAAGCACUUGCCCUAGCCAAAAGAAAAAAAAAAAUCAAGAUUUACUAUAAUAAUUUUAAAAGUGUGGUGUAGUAUUAGUUUAGAAAUAGAAAAAUGGAGUUAUGAUUCAAGGUAUAGAAUCCUCAUUUUGGGAGGCUGAGGCGGGCAGGUCACGAGGUCAGGAGAUCGAGACCAUUCUGGGUAUUACGGUGAAACCUCGUCUCUACUAAAAAUACAAAAAAUUAGCCGAGCAUGGUGGCAGGCGCCUGUAGUCCCAGCUACUUGGGAAGCUGAGGCAGGAGAAUCGCUUGAACCCAGGAGGUGGAGGCUGCAGUGAGCUGAGAUUGUGCCACCACGCCAAUGCACUCCAGCCUGGGCAACAGAGUGAGACUCCGUCUCAAAAAAAAAAAAAAGAAUCCAAAGUCAGAUUGGCACAUGUAUGGAAACUUGUAAUAUGGUAAGUAUCAUUUAAACCAGAUGGGGAAAGGAUUAUACAAUACUUGGUGCUGCAAAAUCUGCUAUCUACACAGGGAGAAACGAUGCCUCUACCCCAAACUGCGUAAGAUAAAUAUCCUUCUCAGUUGAUUAAAACCUAAAAAGCAACGGACUUUUAAAUCACCUGAAAAAACAGACUGUAAGUUAACAUUAUAACAUUAUAAUGUUAUAAAGUUAUAACAUUUAACCUUGGGCUUGGCAAUGAAGAAUUUCUUAAAUAAAACACAAUGAACAUAACUCUUAAUGAAAAACAUUGAUAAAAUCAACCACCUUAAAAUAGAAAAUUUUGUACAACAAAAGACAAUGCAGCUUUUUUUUUUUUUAAUGAAAAAAGCUACAGGAUGUCAGAAGGUAUUUGCCAUUUAUAUCACCAACAUAUAAUUGACGGUUAUUGGAUAUGCAAAAAAAUACUAGAAACAGCCUACUUGUUCAUUAUCACAAAAAUGAUGAAGGAUAAAUAAAGUAUACAAUAAUCCAAUUGCAAAGAAUACUACACCUCAGCUAAAAUGAAAAGGGAACUAUGUAUUAAUGUAGAUAAGUUUAUUAGUAUAAAAGUUAUUUUACUUAUUGAUCUAUAAUCCUCUUACUGAUUUUAGGAUCUAUAAGACCUAUAUUUCCUUACAAUCCAAUUAAAGACUAUAGGAUAUCUUUUAUUCUGAUAUUGAAAAUUUAUAUUUUCUUUUUUCCAUCUUUAAGAAUUUUUUAGGAAUGUAUUAAUUUUAUUAAUCUCCACAAAAAAAUCCAUUUAGAUUUUUUCUCUUUUCUAGUUUGUUCUGCUUUCUAUUUCAUUAAAUUCUUUUUUUAAUUUAUUUUUUAUUUUUUAUUUUUUGAGAUGGAGUCUCGCUCUGUCCCCCAGGCUGGAGUGCAGUGGCGCAAUCUCUGCUCACUGCAAGCUCCACCUCCUGGGUUCAUGCCAUUCUCCCACCUCAGCCUCCUGAGUAGCUGGGACUACAGGCACGUGCUACCAUGCCCAGCUAAUUUUUUGUAUCUUUAGUAGAGACGGGGUUUCACUGUGUUAGCCAGGAUGGUCUCUGUCAGGCCUCUGAACCCAAGCCAAGCCAUUGCAUCCCCUGUGACUUGCACGUAUACGCCCAGAUGGCCUGAAGUAACUGAAGAAUCACAAAAGAAGUGAAAAGGCCCUGCCCCGCCUUAACCGAUGACAUUCCACCAUUGUGAUUUGUUCCUGCCCCACCUUAACUGAGUGAUUAACCCUGUGAAUUUCCUUCUCCUGGCUCAGAAGCUCCCCCACUGAGCACCUUGUGACCCCUGCCCCUGCCCAGCAGAGAACAACCCCCUUUGACUAUAAUUUUCCAUUACCUUCCCAAAUCUUAUAAAACGGCCCCCCCUAUCUCCCUUCGCUGACUCUUUUCAGACUCAGCCCACCUGCACCCAGGUGAAAUAAACAGCCAUGUUGCCCACACAAAGCCUGUUUGGUGGUCUCUUCACACGGACGCUCAUGGAAUUUGGUGCCGUGACUCAGAUCGGGGGACCUCCCUUGGGAGAUCAAUCCCCCUUCCUCCUGCCCUUUGCUCUGUGAAAAAGAUCCACCUAUGACCUCAGGUUCUCUGACUGACCAGCCCAAGAAACAUCUCACCAAUUUCAAAUCCGGUAAGCGGCCUCUUUUUACUCUCUUCUCCAACCUCCCUCACUAUCCCUCAACCUCUUUCUCCUUUCAAUCUUGGCGCCACACUUCAAUCUCUCCCUUCUCUUAAUUUCAAUUCCUUUCAUUUUCUGGUAGAGACAAAGGAGACACGUUUUAUCCGUGGACCCAAAACUCCGGCGCCGGUCACGGACUGGGAAGGCAGCCUUCCCUUGGUGUUUAAUCAUUGAAAGGACACCUCUCUGAUUAUUCACCCACGUUUCAAAGGUGUCAGACCACGCAGGGACGCCUGCCUCGGUCCUUCACCCUUAGCGGCAAGUCCCGCUUUUCUGGGGAAGGGGCAAGUACCCCACCCCCUUCUCUCCUUGUCUCUACCCCUUCUCUGCUUUUCUGGGGGAGGUGAAAGUACCCCUCAACCGCUUCUCCUUCACCCUUAGUGGCAAGUCCCGCUUUUCUGGGGGAGGGGCAAGUACCCCUCAACCCCUUCUCCUUCACCCUUAGUGGCAAGUCCUGCUUUUCUGGGGAAGGGGCAAGUACCCCAGCCCCUUCUCUCCGUGUCUCUACCCCUUCUCUGCUUUUCUGGGGGAGGGGCAAGUACCCCAACCUCAUAUCUCUGUGCCCCAAUCCCUUAUUUCCACACCCCAACCUCUUAUCUCUGUGCCCCACUCCCUUAUUUCCGUGUCCCGACCCCCCUUCCCACUUUUCUGGAGGGUAAGAACCCCCAAACCCCUUCCCUCCGUGUCUCUACACUCUCUUUUCUCUGGGUUUGCCGCCUUCACUAUGGGCAACCUUCCACCCUCCAUUCCUCCUUCUUCUCCCUUAGCCUGUGUUCUCAAGAACUUAAAACCUCUUCAACUCACACCUGACCUAAAACCUAAACACCUUAUUUUCUUUUGCAAUGCCGCUUGACCCCAAUACAAACUCAACAGUAGUUCCAAAUAGCCAGAAAAUGGCACUUUGAAUUUUUCCAUCCUGCAAGAUCUAAAUAAUUCUUGUCGUAAAAUAGGCAAACGGUCUGAGGUGCCUGAUGUCCAGGCAUUCUUUUACACAUCAGUCCCUUCCUAGUCUCUGUGCCCAGUGCAACUCGUCCCAAAUCUUCCUUCUUUCCCUCCUUCCUGUCCCCUCAGUCCCAACCCCAAGCAUCGCUGAGUCUUUCUAAUCUUCCUUUUCUACAGACCCAUCUGACUUCUCCCCUCCUUGCCAGGCCGAGCUAGGUCCCAAUUCUUCCUCAGCCUCUGCUCCUCCACCCUAUAAUCUUUUUAUCGCCUCCCCUCCUCACACCUGGUCCGGCUUACAGUUUCGUUCUGUGACUAGCCCUCCCCCACCUGCCCAGCAAUUUACUCUUAAAAAGGUGGCUGGAGUCAAAGGCGUAGUCAAGGUUAAUGCUCCUUUUUCUUUAUCCCAAAUCAGAAGCGUUUAGGCUCUUUUUCAUCAAAUAUAAAAACCCAGCCCAGUUCAUGGCUCGUUCGGCAGCAACCCUGAGAUAAUUUACAGCCCUAGACCCUAAAAGGUCAAAAGCCAUCUUAUUCUCAAUAUACAUUUUAUUACCCAAUUUGCUCCUGACAUUAAAUAAAACUCCAAAAAUUAGAAUCUGGCCCUCAAACCCCACAACAGGACUUAAUUAACCUCACCUUCAAGGUGUACAAGAAUAGAAAAAAGUUGCAAUUCCUUGCCUCCACUGUGAGACAAACCCCAGCCACAUCUCCAGCACACAAGAACUUCCAAACGCCUGAACCGCAGCGGCCAGGCUUUACUCCAGAACCUCAUCCCCCAGGAGCUUGCUACAAGUGCCAGAAAUCUGACCAACAGGCCAAGGAAUGCCUGCAGCCCAGGAUUCCUCCUAAGCUGUGUCCCAUCUGUGCGGGACCCCACUGGAAAUCAGACUGUUCAACUCACCUGGAAGCCACUCCCAGAGCCCCUGGAACUCUGGCCCAAGGCUCUCUGACUGACUCCUUUCCAGAUCUUCUCAGCUUAGCGGCUGAAGACUGAUGCUGCCCGAUCGCCUCGGAAGCCCCGUAGACCAUCACGGACGCCGAGCUUUAGGUAACUCUCACAGUGAAGGGUAAGUCCGUCCCCUUCUUAAUCAACACGGAGGCUACCCACUCCAACAUUACCUUCUUUUCAAGGGCCUGUUUCCCUUGCCUCCAUAACUGUUGUGGGAAUGACAGCCAGGCUUCUACACCUCUAAAACUCCCCAACUGUGGUGCCAACUUAGACAAUACUCUUAUGCACUCUUUUUUAGUUAUCCCCACCUGCCCAAUUCCCUUAUUAGGCUGAGACACUUUAACUAAAUUAUCUUCCCUGACUAUUCCUGGACUAUAGCAGCAUCUCAUUGCUGCCCUUCUUCCCAAUCCAAAGCCUUCUUUGCAUCCUCCUCUUGUAUUCCCCCACCUUAACCCACAAGUAUAAGAUACCUCUACUCCCUCCUUGGCUACCGAUCAUGCACCCCUUACCAUCUCAUUAAAACCUAAUCACCCUUUCCCCGUUCAAUGCCAAUAUCCCAUCCCACAGCAUGCUUUGAAAGGAUUAAAGCCUGUUAUCACUUGCCUGCUACAGCAUGGGCUUCUAAGACCUAUAAACUCUCCUUAACCAUUCCCCCAUUUUACCUGUCCUAAAACCAGACAAGCCUUACAAGUUAGUUCAGGAUCUGCGCCUUAUCAACCAAAUUGUUUUACCUAUCCACCCUGUGGUGCCAAACCCAUAUACUCUCCUAUCCUCAAUACCUGCCUCUACAACCCAUUAUUCUGUUCUAGAUCUCAAACAUGCUUUCUUUACUAUUCCUUUGCACCCUUCAUCCCAGCCUCUCUUCGCUUUCACUUGGACUGACCCUGACACCCAUCAAGCUCAGCAAAUUACCUAGGCUGUACUGCCGCAAAGCUUCACAGACAGCCCCCAUUACUUCAAUCAAGCCCAAAUUUCUUCCUCAUCUGUUACCUAUCUUGGCAUAAUUCUCAUAAAAACACACGUGCUCUCCCUGCCAGUCAUGUCCGACUAAUCUCCCAAACCCCAGCACCUUCUACAAAACAACUCCUUUCCUUCCUAGGCAUGGUUAGUGCGGUCAGAAUUUUUACACAAGAGCCAGGACCACACCGUGUAGCCUUUCUGUCCAAACAACUUGACCUUACUGUUUUAGCCUAGCCCUCAUGUCUGCGUGCAGUGGCUGCCACUGCUUUAAUACUUUUAGAGGCCCUCAAAAUCACAAACUAUGCUCAACUCACUCUCUACAUUUCUCAUAACUUCCAAAAUCUAUUUUCUUCCUCAUACCUGACACGUAUACUUUCUGCUCCCUGGCUCCUUCAGCUGUACUCUCUUCGUUAAGUCCCACAAUUACCAUUGUUCCUGGCCCGGACUUCAAUCCCGCCUCCCACAUUAUUCCAGAUACCACACCUGACCGUCAUGACUGUAUCUCUCUGAUCCACCUGAUGUUCAUCCCAUUUCCCCACAUUUCCUUCUUCCCUGUUUCUCACCCUGAUCACGCUUGAUUUAUUGAUGGCAGUUCCACCGGGCCUAAUCACCACACACCAGCAAAGGCAGGCUAUGCUAUAGUACAAACCACUAGCCCGCCUCUUAGAACCUCUCAUUUCCUUUACAUCAUGGAAAUCUAUCCUCAAGGAAAUAACUUCUCAGUGUUCCAUCUGCUAUUCUAUCUGCUAUUCUACUACUCCUCAAGGAUUAUUCAGGCCCCCUCCCUUCCCUACACAUCAAGCUCGAGGAUUUGCCCCCGCCCAGGACUGGCAAAUUAGCUUUACUCAACAUGCCCUGAGUCACAAAAACUAAAAUACCUCUUAGUCUAAGUAGACACUUUCACUAGAUAGGUAGAGGCCUUUCCUACAGGGUCUGAGAAGGCCACCGCAGUCAUUUCUUCCCUUCUGUCAGACAUAAUUCCUCAGUUUAGCCUUCCCACCUCUAUACAGUCUGAUAACAGACCAGCCUUUAUUAGUCAAAUCAGCCAAGCAUUUUAUCAGGCUCUUAGUUUUCAGUGACAGACUAAAGGUCUUUUAAAAACACACCUCACCAAGCUCAGCCACCAACUUAAAAAGGACUGGACAAUACUUUUACCACUUUCCCUUCUGAGAAGUGAGACCUGUCCUCAGAAUGCUACCAGGUACAGCCCAUUUAAGCUCCUGCAUAGAUGCUCCUUUUUAUUAGGCCCCAGUCUCAUUCCAGACGCCAGACCAACUUAGACUGUGCCCCAAAAAACUUGUCAUCCCUACUAUCUUCUGUCUAGUCAUACUCCUAUUCACCGUUCUCAACUACUCAUACAUGCCCUACUCUUGUUUACACUGCUGGUUUACACUGUUUCUCCAAGCCAUCACAGCUGAUAUCUCCUGGUGCUAUCCCCAAACUUCUACUCUUGAAGUAAAUAAAUAAUCUUUGCUGGCAGGACUAUGCUGAAUCUCCUAAGCACUCUCUAAUCAGAUGUCCUAGGUCCUCCCAAUUCUUAAACCAUUUAUACCUGUUUUUCUCCUUCUCUUAUUCCAUUUAGUUUUUCAGUUCAUACAAAACCGUAUCCAGGCCAUCACCAAUCUUUCUGUAUGACAAAUGUUUCUUCUAACAACCCCCUCAAUGUCACCCCUUACCACAAGACCUCCCUUCAGCUUAAUCUCUCCCACUCUAGGUUCCCACGCCGCCCCUAAUCCCGCUUGAAGCAGCACUGAGAAACAUCGCCCAUUCUCUCUCCGCACCACCCCCAAAAAUUUUCGCCACCCCAACACUUCAACACUAUUUUAUUUUUCUUAUUAAUAUAAGAAGGCAGGAAUGUCAGGCCUCUGAGCCCAAGCCAAGCCAUCGCAUCCCCUGUGACUUGCACGUAUAUGCCCAGAUGGCCUGAAGUAACUGAAGAAUCACAAAAGAAGUGAAAAGGCCCUGCCCUGCCUUAACUGAUGACAUUCCACCAUUGUGAUUUGUUCCUGCCCCACCUUAACUGAGUGAUUAACCCUGUGAAUUUCCUUCUCCUGGCUCAGAAGCUCCCCCACUGAGCACCUUGUGACCCCCGCCCCUGCCCACCAGAGAACAACCCCCUUUGGCUGUAAUUUUCCAUUACCUUCCCAAAUCUGAUAAAACAGCCCCACCCCAUCUCCCUUCGCUGACUUUCUUUUCGGACUCAGCCCACCUGCACCCAGGUGAAAUAAACAGCCACGUUGCUCACACAAAGCCUGUUUGGUGAUCUCUUCACACGGGCGCACAUGAAAGUCUCGAUCUCCUAACAUCACGAUCUGCUCACCUCGGUCUUCCAAAGUGCUGGGAUUACAGGUGUGAGCCACCGUGCCCAGCCUAUUUCAUUAAAUUCUUAUCUUACUUUUGUUACUUUUCCUUCUACUUGUUUUGAUUUUAGUUGUACUUAAUGAGAAAAAUAGAAAAAAAUAUAUGUUUAUUCCUUUAAAAAAAUGAGCAAAAGCCAUGAACAGGUGUUUUACAGAAAAAAAUUCAAGGGACUAAUAAUCAUAAAAAAAUCUGCUCAAUAUCACAAAUCUUCAAAAACCACUAACUGAAACAAUUAGACACUGCUAUCUGAAAUGUCAAAUUAAAAAAAGAAAAAAGACAAAAACAAAUGACAAACCUAUCAAGACCAGUGGUGGCGGGAAUGUGGAAUAACUCUGUGUUGCUGGUAGGAAUGUGAAUUUGCACAGGUAAUUUAGAAAACUGGCCAGGCAUGGUGGCUCAUGCCUGUAAUCCCAGCACUUUGGGAGGCUGAGGCGGGCUGAUCAUGAGCUUAAGAGAUGGAGACCACCCUGGCCAACGUGGUGAAACCCCGUCUCUACUAAAAAUACAAAAAUUAGCUGGGCGUGGUGGUGCAUGCCUGUAGUCCCAGCUACAAGGGAGGCUGAGGCAGGAGGAUCGUUUGAACCUGGGAGGCAGAAGUUGCAGUGAGCAGAGAUCAAGCCAUUGUACUCCAGCCUGGUGACAGAGGGAGACUCCGUCUCAAAACACAAACAAACAAACAAACAACAACUACAACAACAAAAAACCUUGUGGUACUAUCUACUGAAGCUAAACAUAGGCAUACCUGAUGUUUGAGCAAUUUCCCUUUUAGAAAUUUGCCCCAAGGAAAUGCAUACACAUGUACACCAAAAAAAGUGGCACAAGGACACUCUUAGAAACAUUUUUCAUAAUAGCUUCAAAUUGGAAACAACACACAUAACCUCCCAGGAUACAAUACAUUCGUUGUUGUAAAAUCACACAAAGUAAUACUAUGGUGUAACAACCAAGUUUUAACUAUUGCUAUGUGAGCCAUCAAGAAUAAAACUAACAGAGUGUUGAGUAAAAGAGUACUACUAACUCAAGUGAGUACAUAGAGUACAACUUCAUUUACAUGAAGUUUCAGAAAUGGCCAAAGCUAACUAACUAUAAUAAUUUAAGUAAGAAUCCAGGUUAUUUUAGGAAAGCUGGCAUAAUAACUGGAAUGGGGAGAGAGGAUACCCCUGGGUCCUGGUAAUGUUGCAGCUUCUAAUCUCUGUUGCAGCUUUCACCGGUUUGCUCCUUUCGUAAAAUUUAUAGAGCAAAAUACUCAUCAUUUUUGCACCUUACCAUAUUGUUGUAUUUUGAUUAAUUUGACACAUCCUCUUUAGGUAUGUGCUCUUGGGUGAUUCCCCUAAUCAUAGUGGAAAGAUGGGAGCUGAGACUCUAAGACUGUAAGUAACUUGGCCAAGACUUAUGGCUUGAUACGGAUCUUCUAACUCAAAAUCGUGUGUUCUUCUCACUACCCAAUUAUUGCUUCACACUUCAUCAUUUUGCAGAUGACUGUGUGUUGAUGAGAGGCUGCCAUAAUUUGAAGUCAUUAGAACAAUGAAAUAGUAUCUGCACAUAUGCACAGUCCUCGGAUGCGAUGGGCAUUCCCUCAAGCUGCAGUCCAGCAGGAAAUUUUCAGUGCUAGAAGAGUUAAACUAUAAGCUGACUUGAGAUGUAGUAGUUCAAAACCCUUGCCAAUAACUCUUUAUUAUGUGCAGCAUUUUCAAAGCAAAAUUACAACAUGUUAGAAAGUGAAUGAGGCAAAUUACUGGUGAUGUCAUCAAAGUAAUAACUGCUAAUGACCCUUUUACUCCUGGGCAUUGCCUGAGGCCACACUGACAGGAAGAGCAGAUCUGCUUUCUGUGAAUCCAUUUGGAUUAUCUAGAAGGCAUCCUGAAAGUUAUGAAAACAUAAUGUGAGAAAAUGAUAGAUCAAAGUGUGAAUACAAUGCAGGGACAACAGAAAGGAAAAUGUACUCUCUGUUGUGUAAUGGGUAUUUUGGCCAGAGUUUGAAGAGCUUUAUUAAGGAGUGACAACAAACAUAUAUUUAAAUGAUGACAUUUCCUCCAAAAUAAAAUAAACAAAUAAAUAUGUAGAAUUUAAAACUUUUUUGUUUCCAUGAAAGAGUUUGGAAUACCCUUCCAAACUCUCCUCAUUCAUUGAGACGAUGGAUCUCUUGUUAUUAACCGAGACACUGAAUUUUGAGGUGACAUCCUGUUCUGGAGGCAGAAACAUUGCCAGCACUUCUCCUUCAGCAGUUGAUUUAUUAUGUGACAGUCGGUGAUGAGCUUAUCCUCAUGAAGAUGCUCCCUCCCACGGACAGCCGUAUCAUACUUGAGGCCUCCCUGCCACUUACCCAGGCCACUGCAAUAGCCCCUUUGUUGUCAUCUGGUUAAGAACUAAGGUUCUUCCUUAACCAGUCCAUUCCCCUGACUUCCACAGAGAAACCAUUCUAUAAACUGCUCAUCUGUCAGCUGUUCACCAGCUCAAAAACCAUUCAGAAUCCCACACCUUCUCCCACUGUCCACAGAAUAUUGUCAGUACUCCUUCUAAGAGAAUUCAAAGCAACAUGACAUCAUCCUAUAUUUCUAGCCUUACCUAAUAAAUAUUCAUACCGACUACCUACUGCUUUCUAUACAGGGAAACAUUUCAAGGCCUCCGAGGUCUGCUUGGAAUUCUCCCAUCCACCAUCAUUUCUGCUGCCUAUUAAUAUUCCACCUAUAAUUUAUUCACCAAAUAUUCCUUGAAUGAGUGCCAGGUGUCAGAUACCUCAGUUCCAAGGUCCUUUCUUUUGUGAAGCUUUUCUUGGAAGCUCCCCUGUCUGAGCUCACACUCUAAUUGGGACAUUAUUUAAUUAUAGUCUGUAUUGAACAAUAUUCGUGUCAAAUGCAUUUUUGUCUGUUUCUCCUACUGGAUUUGGAGCAUAUAUCUUGGAAUCACUGCCACCUGCCAUAGUAUCUAGCACAUUAUAGACAAUAAUUUUUAUUGACUGAAUCAUUUUGAAGUUAUUCCUCUAUGUUCUAGAGAAUUAAUACUUUAGUUUCUGUAUUCCCUACUUAGAGAUACUUUUAAGGUGCAUUGAUAAUAAUCCUGGAUUUAUUAGAAUCUUUAGGGAGCAUCUCAGAAUGAGAUUAUAAUUCUUUCUCGAUAGCAGGGAUAAGACUGGUGCUGUAGAAGAUAAAAAGGAAUCCUAAUUUCUUGCUCACAUCUUGCUUUGGCAGAGUCAGGACAUAGGACCCAUAAUCCUUAUCUCCUAUGAAGAGAAAAUCUUGCCCCCGUCUUCUCACCAGCCCUUGGCAGAGCUGUUAGGAGGCAGAUUCCAGCUGCCAGCCCUUCCAGUGAUUUUUCUCAGCUGCAGCAAGCCACCUUGCCCAAGGUCAUGCCCUUCCACGUGUGACCCACAUCCAUGACUGAUGGAUGCAGGAGCUAUAAAGGCCCAGCCACUGCAGCCCAAUGCAGGGGAAUUGGGGCCAUCUUAGUUCCAGAGUUCUCCAUGAAACCGGCUGAGGCUAUGCCUGCAUAAUAGUUCAGGUUUUCCUUUUGUCCAAUCCCACUUUCUAUGCCUCCCUUUCAUGGAGACUGAUUACAAGAGCACUCUGAUAAACACUUUGAACAUUAUACUUCGUCUCAGAGUCUGCAUCCUGGUGAAUCUAAAUGGUAUCAUCAAUGCAAGUGGCUCUAAGAUGGGAUUUUGGAGCUGGAUGACUCACCAACCAGCCAGUGAUUAAGAUGCUGUCACUUGUGGUUGGUGGAGCACAACUAGUCCUGGUGCAAGGUGGGUACUGCUUGGUAAAACUUUCAUGAAGGUGAGCUGGGAAGCUACACCAGUGGAAAGGAAUGCACUCACUGGUGCAAUGCAUGCUUUUCAGUGCAUUUGAAAAUUAUGGGAGGGGUAGGUACUAUAAGGGCAAAGAGGUUGUAUGACUAUGGUUAACCUUUAAGCUCUAGAAAAAAACAAAAAUAAGGUUAAGUGUGAAAGCCAAAGCCAAAAGCCAAAGCUUUUAUAUAGUACCCUAUAAAAAGCCUCUCAUCUCCUUUAACAGCAGGGAAGAAAGUUGGAGAAAAGCUCCACAACUUAAUUGUCAUGGUAGCUGAACUAGAAAGAAUAAUGUACUCAUAACAAAGCCAUUUGUAUCCAGGUGAAGACCCUGACUGGGAUGAACGGGACCCUGAAACACGGAAAAGAGACUUGGUUGAUGACCUGAAAAAUUCGGAAUUCCUAGAUUCUCCCAAAUCUCUGAGCCUAUAGAAGCAGACUUUCCCUCCAUUUUAACCCAUUCAGAGGUCACUCCCCUGAAAGAGAGCAGGUACUCCACUCAGGAUCUUUCCCCACCUUGCUUCCUAGCCAUUAGGCUAAUAACUCAGGUAAAUUGCAUCAUAAUCCAGCCUUGAGUGUGCUGGGCCUGGUAAGAAAGGAAAGGAAUUACAUCCCAAAGGAGCUAAAAUAAAACCUGCUAACAUAGACCAGCAGGUAUGCUCUGGCAGAGCAGGUAUGGGUCUGAUCAAGGAGGCUGGAGCCUAAGAGUGAAUAAGGGAUGUUAUCUACUAGUGGUUUAGUGAAUUUGGGAGCACUCUCCCAAGGUACAGGAUUUAAAACUUAGCAAAAACCCUAGGAGAUGAUGCAAACUGGGUCUUAGGAGCAUGCAAACUAGUUCCUAGGAGCAUGGAAAAAGUGAUGGCCAGAGUAAGGGAGGUCUACAUGUUGGGAUCACUGUGUCUGAUGGUGGAGAAUGGGAUAAAAAACUAGGGAGUGAGCAUUCUAGGGAGGAUAUACAACAUACAAAAAGCCCACCACGUGGUUAUAUUUCAUGGGAAAUCCCCAGAGAAAAGAAGAGGUGUUCUGGUGAGACGGGAACCAGCAUCACCAAGAAGUUCAUUGGUGGCUGUCCUUUGUAGGUGGAAUUGACCAUAGGAGAGGGCAUUAUUACAGAGCUAGGGUCACUGAUAGUGAUAAGGAUAAUAAGAUCCCUACUGAAGCCCGGCAGUGGCACUUCAUUGUCAAAAUCCAGGUAGACAGGUAACUCAGGUAACUUUAUACUUGGAGAAUAGGAAAACUCAAACUGGCAGUGAUACCAGAAACUCCAAAAGUCACUAUGGCCUCAGUUUUGGGGUGGAGCUAACUAAACAGAGUUAACUAACUAGAGUUCAAGGCCAAUAUCUAAUCAACUGUAAGUCUGCAAUAUCUGCUGUUUUCUCAGGCCCUUCUGAAACUGCUCUCCCCCUCAAUCCAAGACAGUAAAUUAAAAAUAAUAUUGCAUUCCAGGGCAUGUAAAAAAUGAGUUUCGUUCAUAACUAUCUAAAUGAUGCAUUGAUAGUGGUCCCUACCAAAUACCCAAUCAAUUCAUCAGUCCAGCCCCUGCAGAAGCCAGAUGAGCCUUAGAGGAGGGGAAUGUACUACCACCAACUAUACCAAAUAUAACUCCAAUCACAAUCGCAGUCUCUGUUCCAGAUCAAGUAUAUUUGAUAGAGAAGAUUAACAUGGUUUCAGUGCAUGGUUUGAGGCCAUGUAUUGUGGUCAUUUUUUCUAUCUCUAUCUGAAAGAAGAUAAAAAGUUGUUAAUAUUUACAUUGAAUGGACAAAACUACACGUUCAUAAUUGUGCCUCAAGGCACUAUGGAUUCCCUCCCUCCCCUACUUUGUCAAUAAUACAGUCUGAAGAUGUACUGGACUGUCUGACAUCCACAGAGCAUCACAUUGAUCAUCUGCAUUUAUACGUCAUGCUAAUUGGAUUGGAGGAACCAAAGGUGGCAACCUUUUUGGGAGCCUUAGUAAGACACACACAGCUGAGGGUGGAAUAUGAAACCUACAAAGCUAUAUGGCCUGCCACACUAGCAAAAUAUUUAGGAAGUCAGUGUUCAGGGCAAACCAGGAUCCCACCUGUAGUAGUUGCCUGUAACUGCCAUAACAAAUUAUUUAAAAAUGGGUGGCUUAAAAUAACAGACAUUUAUUCUCUUACAGUUUGGGGGGCCAGAAGUCCAAAAUUCAGGUGUUGACAGAUCCACACAUCCUCAAAAUGCUCACAGAAAAAUUCCAUUCCUUACCUUGUCCUGCUCUGGGUGGCUUCCAGCACUCCUUGGGCAGUGUACCCCCCGGGAAUACUGCUUUGGCUCAUGUAUAGGUGACAUGAGAUGCUGCCAGCCUUGAGUGGGGCCCAGAACAGGAAAGUGCACUGUAAAAGGUUCAGGCUGUAGUUCAAGCGGCCAUUACCCUUGGGCCAUAUGACCCAGCAGAUCCUAAGAUAUUAAAGGUAUUAGUGGUGGGAUAAAGAGACCAUGGAGAGCCAAUGACAAUCUCAAGGGAGAGCAUCACAGAGCAAGCUUCUUGGACUCUGGACCAAGAAUGCCAGUGGAUACUUUGCCAUGCAUAUGCAGUGGAGAAUCACCUUUUGAAAAACAACUGCUGCCAUGCCACCAACCCCAAUAAAAGUGGAAUAUCUAUGCAUGAGACUUUUUUGACCCUGAAUGAUGAACUGCCCACAAUGACGUAGAUUCUGUCGGAACACACCGUGUUAUAAAAUUAGACGCAACUGGCAACAAUAGUGAGAAAAUGAAGUGUAGCAUAGGCAGGACCAGGGGCAGAGCCAACUGCAUGCAAAGGGAACACAGACCCCAUGCCACCCACCGCUGAUGCCCCAGCACCCUCCCUCAUCAUGCACCAGUGCCACAUGGUGUGAUCCCGCUUGGUUCGCAGAUGGGUUGGCUCUGAAUGUGGCCCAAGUCAGAAAUAACAGCCUUUCUUGGAGGCAGCCUUGAAAGACAGUGAUGAGGGGAAAUGCACUUUGGGAAGAGCACCUAGUUGUGCAGUUGUGGAAAGAGGUGUCCUAACAUGAGACUGUACAGAUUCAUAGGCAGCAGCAAAUAGCCUGGCAAGUCUGAAAAAAUAAAUAAACAAAUUUUGCAAUGAGAAGGACAAGGAGGGGUGGGAUAGAGGCAUUUGGAAUGUGAAUGGUGUAUGAAGAUCUUGGAGUCACGUGUUAACACCCACCACAGAGCGUCCACCAGAGAAGAGGUACUCAAUAUCCAAGUAGACAGAAUGUCAGCCAGAUUUUGUCAUAGACCAGUGUUAGCACAGGGACGUAUGGCCAAAGCAGUGGCAGUGAUGGAGAGCCUCCACACGGACCCCACAGCAGGAUCUCUCACUGACCAAGGCUAGUGUUGCCACUGAGUGUCAACAUCAAAUGUAGAGGCCCACACUGAGUUUGAAGACCAAACUGGUCACUUGGUAACAAUUGACCAAGUGGGCCCCUUCCACAUUGCAGAUGCCACCAAGUCACUGAGAGAAAUUGGUAGAUAUUUCAGGUAUGGAUUUUACUUACCUGAGGGUGUCAGACAGCCCCAGUGUCCGAAGCCUUACAGAGUGUUGGCUGCUUGGCACAGGAUUCCACAAACAACUGUCAAAAACUAGUGAGGCCACCUAACAGAAAUGCAGGUGAGGGAGUGGGCCAGUAACUACAGGAAUGACCUUAACAAAUAUUACACCAGCUAAAAGCUGCAGGCCUGAAAGAACACUGGAACAGUGAAAACACAGCUGAAGCAACGGCUCAGAGCUAGAGAAUGGAGUUCACAUCUCUAGGAAGCAGUGUAUGCACAAAGCAGGUUCGAUAUAUGAUGCUGUGUUCCCAGUAGGAGGAAAAUAGGAGUCCCAGGCACAAUGAAGUAGAAGCAAAAGUGGCAACUCCUCGAAAAUUCUGAAAGAGAAUCCUUUCCAAUCAGUGUUCCAUAGCACCUAGAUCAUCCAUUAUGCAUGCCUAUGGAAUAGUCAUUUUUAGAUGUUCGCAGACCCAAAAAAUUAUCUGCCAUAUGCACUUUUCUAGAUAGCUAUUCAAGGAGGAAACUUACAAAAAAAAAAAGGAAGACACUAAAAAACAUGAGAUUCAUUAAACUAGGAAUUCAACACAAAAGAGCUGGGGGGUCUCCACAGGACGGUGAGGGGAGAUGUUAGGCAGCCAUGCUCCAGGCUGAGUGAGGUACCAGUCUCAAUGGAUAGAAGCCUCUGGGAAGGACGUCUUCAAGCAGAUGAAACUUUCCUAAGAUUGGAUACACUCCACUGUAUUAUAAAGAGAUUUUAUUUCUGGGGAAGAAUUUGGGGAAGAAUUAGUAAUAAUUAAUAGAAAAAAAGAAAGAUAAAUUAGACAACUUUAAGAAAAACAAAUUUGUGUAAGAAAAUUCAUUCAAGUGUCCUGUGUCAAUCGUGCCUAGCAUUUACAUGGCCAUAAUAAAAUAAGCACUACAUUUUGUACCCAACUAAAAUGAAAAUAUGGGUAGGUUGGAAGGAUGACAGGCCAGGAAGUAUGCACGAAUAUGGCAGGGAGAGGGGUAUGAAAGGGGGGUUAAUUCCCUUCUUCAAGAGCCUAAUUUUUAUUUAAGUGCAAUUUGGUGGAAGGUUAUCAGCCUACACACUGGAGCAUUAUCAGAAAGAAGUCUAUUGCAUUUGCUUUGGAGAUGUUACUAAACAUUCGUUUCUUUGUAUGGUCAUGUCACUCGUAUGAUCAAUUAUAAGGUAAAUUUUUCUCUGGUCAUUUUACCAAGUAAAGUUAUAUUUCCCUUGAGAAAAACGUGCUUUUUUUUUUUUGUUAUAGACACUAUGAAUCAUACACAAAUCAGUUUUCACUCUUUUGUUUUGAAUUUUAAUGAAUAUAGAGGUGGCUUUGCAUUAUGUUUUUAUCAUACAUAUAGAAUGUUCUGGCAUUCAUCUUGCAUACUAACUUCACUGCUGAUUUAUUAUAUUUUCUGACCUUCAUUUUCCUUUCUCCAUGCUUUCUUCAAUUACAAAUUCUUAUAAUGGCUAUAUUUCUUCAAAUAAAAGAAAUUAUUUUGUUUUGGAAUGAGGCAAGGUUAGAAGCAAACAUAUAAAUAAAUGCGACUUUGAACAAUUAAUCAAUUUUGGAUGCACUUUUUGUAAUUGCUUUGCCUGUUUGUACUGUGCAGUCACCAUAUCUUCCCACUGGAGCAUAAAUUUACAAACUUCAUGCAAAUGCAUUAUUUGUAAUAAAACUGACUCAUGAGCAUUAAAAGCCAAUUAUUUCUAUACAUCUGCUGGCUAUGGCUGGCAAUAAUUGUGCGUCAUUCAGAUUUGUGGCUGUGUGUUUGCCUUAGUAAGAUUUUAAUCACUCAUUAAUUUAUGGUUUACAAUAUGCAUCAUGGGCGCCUGUAUUCCCCAAACUACCUCAGACUUACAAAUCGAGAAGCUGCAGAACUUGGAAUUGUGACAACAGAGGCCUCUUUUAAGUUGUGUCUUCAUGCCAAUGUCUACUAGAGGAUCAUAGAUGAAAUAAGACAACCCCCCCACCCACCUCAAAACACACUGAGUACAAUUGAUCUUCCAUUCCAUUGAUGAAUUACUUUUUCAUUUUUUUUAUAAUACCAUACUAUGCAUUUUUAUGUUACUUUUUUAUUUGCCAGUUAAUGACUUCUUGGUGGCCUAACCUUUGUGGAGACAGG